rnacentral:misc_RNA from 1 species
GAAAUGCGAUAAGUAAUGUGAAUUGCAGAAUUCAGUGAAUCAUCGAAUCUUUGAACGCACAUUGCGCCCGCCAGUAUUCUGGCGGGCAUGCCUGUUCGAGCGUCAUUUCAACCAUCAAGCCCCCGGCUUGUGUUGGGGACCUGCGGCUGCCCGCAGGCCCUGAAAACCAGUGGCGGGCUCGCUGUCACACCGAGCGUAGUAGCAUACAUCUCGCUCAGGGCGUGCUGCGGGUUCCGGCCGUUAAAAGCCUUUUUUACCCAAGGUUGACCUCGGAUCAGGUAGGAAGACCCGCUGAACUUAAGCA